rnacentral:tRNA from 2 species
GGGGGAUUAGCUCAGCUGGGAGAGCGUUUGACUGGCAGUCAAAAGGUCGUCGGUUCGAUCCCGAUAUCCUCCACCA